GCUCUCGUAGCUCAUUUGGUUAGAGCGUUCACUUCAUAAACGUAAAUCUUGAGUUUGACUCUUAAUGGAGAGCA
rnacentral:tRNA from 1 species